GGAUGGUCCUCCAUCCUCAGCAAAGUCAUUGGGGAGGAUCUGCUCUGGCUUCCGCCCCACCUACAUAUCCUCCUCCAGCUCAAUGACCCUCGUGUAUUUCCGAAGCUUCAAUAACCUAGGAAAAAACUUCAUUGCUUAUUAUUAUUCUGCACCCAAAGAGGCAGUGUCGCAGACUCCACAUCUAAUCACCAUCCCGACAGCAACACCCAGGACAGUAACAGCAAGAGCAGGUAAGCCCUGAAAUGUAUUUAUUCAUUUACUGAGUGUGUCCUUUCCUCUCAGCACCUGCAUUUGUAUCUGCACCUGUAUCUGCUUCAUGCACAGAAACUGG
rnacentral:lncRNA from 1 species